rnacentral:lncRNA from 1 species
CGACACCCUAAUAAAGCCAAGUAGCGAGGCAAAUUCAAGGCAAAUCGCGACCAGGAGCCCGCGUUUGUGCAGGGGUUGCUCUGCUGCCCCCUGGCCGUCCUGGGCGGAACUGCAGGGAUAUGAAAGCGGCUGCUCGCGUGCGAGGCGCACCGCGUGGGAGUGGGAAAGGCACACAACCCGCCCCUGAGCGGGAAAACCACGAGGUACUGUCGUGCUGCGCGAGAGAAAUCUGGGGCGAGAAGGAGAAAGAGAGAGAGGAAACGGGAAGGAGAGGAGUGAACAGACCCCCGCAGACUGAGCCCUGGACCAUGAGGACCCACGCGUGGCCACGUCCUGCUGCCCAGCUCCGGCCCGCGCUCAGAGGACUUUGUCAGUGAGUAAGAACCAUGCCAGGUGGUCUGGAGAAGGCGUGUCAUCGGUGCAUUUCUAAAAUUGCCAGCAAUGCCUGCUUUGUUUUUGUGCUCUUCGCUUUCCUGGCCCUGCCGCUAUCUAUGGCUUUCACAGGAAUGAAGUUUUUGGAAGACUGCCCCAUACAGCCUCUCAUUCCUCUAUAUUUGCUAGUCGGUGGGAUCAUCGGUACCUUAAAGGUGUCUCUCCUACUACAUGACUCCACCAGGAUGAGGUGGCUUCUGUCCAAAGCUGUGGUGAUUGAUGAUGAUGAUGAUGAUGAAUAUCCCUGGAGGCAGAAUGUGCACAAAUACUACAUCCACCUCAUCCUCAGCCUCUUCCUCUUCCUCUGGUUCAUUCUGGGGAAUUACUAGGUCUUCUCUGUGUACCUGCCAGACUUUAUUCCACCUUUUCAGCAGCCUCAGGCUUACUGUGACAAAACCCUGUACCUCUUUGCAGUAGGGGUCCUGGUGCUCAGCCACACUGUGCUGGUCUUACUCGUCCUGGGCAGCAGUUAUGUCUAUGUGUGUUCUAAGUGGAGAUUCGCUGCCGAUGAAGACUGACACCCACACCUUCCCACGAGUGUGUGUGCACACACACACAGACACACAUGUGCACACACAUAUACACACAUAAUUUUGGGAGAAAAGCACACUGAUGAGUGGACAGAAUGUCCCCAGAAGGAAUUUCAGGAACCACCAACAUGUACUGAGGAUUCUACCAGACUUAAGAAAUUCUGGCCUGCCUGGACCUGCUCUUCUCCAAGUGGGAAUUUUAUACUCAUAAGAGUUACCAAAGGGAUUUUUCUUUUUUAGGGGAAAGAUGAGGAAGGCAAAGACUGGGGGACCCCUUUCAAAUCACAGCACAAUUUCCUGUAGAAAGGUUUGUUGUUAUUGCUGCUUGGAGGUCAUUCAGCCACCAGCACAGGAAGCUGAAGAAAGAAUGUGGUUCUUCAGACAACACAGAGCUUAGAUUUUCUUGCAGUGAUGGCUUUUGUUAUUAAAAAGAGAAAAAUAGGGCUGGGGAUUUAGCUCAGUGGCUCUGGCGCCUUCCUCAAAAGCUCAAGGUCCAGAGUUCGAUCCCUGGUACCAAAAAAAAAAGAAAGAAAAUUAAAUAAAUAAAUGAAUGAAUGAAUAAAUAAAUAAAAAGAGAAAAAUGUCCUUCAAUAACUCCAAGUCUCUUGGGGAAAAUUAAGGGGCAGUUUCUCCCAAUCCCAAAUCAGAAAGUUUUGAUCUAAUGGGAGGGGACAGCCCAAGGAUAGCUGUAACAUCUGCCAAGGUCAAGAAAGUAGAGUCCAUCCAGGGGCUCUGGCUGGCCUGCUGGGCUGGCCUAGCAGAUAGCAGGAUUCCUUUUGUCUUGGGCUCUGUGUUCUAUCAUUGCACAUGAAGUAUUUGGCCUUUAGUCCCUGUCCUUCCUGGUUAUCUGUGGCACAGACCAGUGAUUUGUGGAUGGCUUUGUGGCACAAACCAGUCUUGUAUGUUUCCAGCCAGGUGCU